AUGGCAGGUGCUACACAAAGUUUGCCAAGAUCUCGUCAGAGCAAGAGGCAGCGAUGCCGGCGAUCCCUUCCUCCUCCUUCGUCCUCGUUGGAUGUUGUGUACUGUACAAGGGCGUGCAGUGGCUUCUCAGAUAAGUCCCGAACGAUGGUGGUUCUGCUCGGAUGUCUUGGCUCUAAGCAGAAGCAUCUCAAGUUCUAUGGUGUGUGUGACCUUCACCCUCCCCACGUCCAAGAUCUGUGGGGAUGCUUAGUUUUUCACACUUUCAGUAACACGGGCUGGCUUUGCUAUUUCGUCAUACUGGAGAACUUGCAGCUGCAGGAUCCUUGGGCGGUGGAGAAAAUUAAGGGUUCCGUAGUCGAUUCAACGCAUGUUGCUGGCCCGGAUUCUCAGUUGUGGAGUCUCAAAGAUAUAUCAGACCAGCAGCUACCGAUUGAGGCUGUUCUACUAUCUGCAUUGGAGAAGUUUUUCGAUGUUGUUCUGAACUAUCUGGCCAUAAAUAGGAGGCAGUCUGGUGUUAUGGAGGUUUUGGCCUCAAACCAACCAAACUGCCCUCAGCUGUACAUAUACAGCUCCGCCGAUCGGGUUAUCCCAUCAAAGUCAGUGGCGUCAUUCGUGGAGAGGCAACGGAAAGCAGGGUGUGAGGUGAGGUCGUGCGACACUGUGUCGUCCCCUCACGUCGACCACUACCGCAGCAAUCCGGGGCUCUACACCUCUCAGCUGACCAACUUCCUGGAAGACUGUGUGCUGGGCCACCGUGAGGACUCCUCGUCGUCGUCACCGUCUGCGUAG
rnacentral:rRNA from 1 species